CAUGAAGACCAGAAGGAAGUGACACAAGUUUUCAAAUGCUGAAAGAAAAGUCUUAUCAAACCAGGAUUUUAUAUUCAACAAAAAAUUCCUUCAGGAAUGAAGGAUUAACAAAGAUAUAGUCAAAUGAGGGAAAACUAAGAGAGUUUAUUGCCAUCAGACCUGUGCUAAAAGAAUUGCUUAAAAAAAUUCUUCAGACAGAAGGGAAAUGAUAAGAAAUGGAACUUGGAACUUCAAAAAUAAAAGAAGAUCAACAGAAAUAGCCACAUAAAUAGAGUAGACUAUUUUUCUCCUUUUGAGUUCUUUUUUCCUUUUUUCUAUUUGUGUAAAUUUAGGGAGUACAAGCACAGUUUUGUUACAUGGAUACUUUGCAUAGUGGUAAAACCUGAGCUUUUAAUGUAACCACCACCCAAACAAUGUCAUUUGUACACCUUAAGUAAUUUCUCAUCCCUCACCCUCUUCCUACUCUUCCUCCCUUCCAAGUAUUCAGCCUUUAUUAUUCCACACUCUAUGUCCAUGUGUACACCUUUUUAAGGCCCUAUUUAUAAGUGAGAACAUGUGGUAGUAUAUAACUAUAUUCCAUGGAAUGCUACUCAGCCAUAAAAAAAGAGUGAAAUCAUGUCUUUUGCAGCAACAUGGGUGGAACUAGAGACCAUUAUCUUAAAUCAAAUAACUCAGAAACAGAAAGCCAAAUACUACCACGUGUUCUCACUUAUAAGGAGAGCAGAGGAAGACAGAUUACCCCAAGAAUCUAGGAUAUGGGUGCAAAAGAAAGGAUGGAAUCUUCAACUCCAAAAUGCAGCAUCACCCUGUUUUAUCUAAGUUAUCUAGUUUACCAGCCUGGAGUUAUCUGUAGUAUGUGAUAGUAUAGUAUAGCAUACAUUUUCCCCCUUUUAGUAUCUACAUGGUUUGUAAUGAUUUCCCCUCUUUCAUUCUUGGGGUAAUCUGUCUUCCUCUACUCUCCUGACACAUACUUUGGGCAGAUCCCACCUCUAGGUACAGAAUGUGAUUGGCAAUUCCUGUGGACCAAUCUGAGCAUUGCUUUCACUUGGCUGUCCUGAUUGCUUUGAAUGGAGAGAGUAAGGCGCAUCAGGCAGAUACAAAGCAUUUUGCUGAGAUUACUGGCACUAUAUAAACCCUGCACUCCCAGGGAGCAGUAGAAAUCUUGAGAAUGGAUCCAUUAGAGUGUAAGGCAGACGUUAAAGAUGGAGAAACCAACUUCUAAUGACAGCUUGGAGCAUCUGGAUCUAGUCCCAGACUUUUUAGUUAUAAUAACUGCAAGAAAAAAUCUACAUCCUGAAAGGGUUGAACCCAUCUUGAAAAUGGCAAAAUCUCCAUCCUGGUGAUCACUGGCACCAUCACUCCCAGUACAGCCAUCACUCUAUGGGAUCCUGGGCACUGCUUAGCACUAGGAAGGCGAAUGGCUUUAAAUUAUGAUUCCUGUCCUCAAGAGAUAAGUCACAUUGUUGAAAACCUGACAUCAACGUACAAAGAUUCAUAAUCAUAAAAGGUAACUCUUGUGGCCAUGGGUGCAGUGUCUGCCAUGCAGAGGAGAAGCCGCUGGUUGUAGCAGCAACACUCCAGCUUACCUGGAGCAAAGUGCAUAAAGGAAAGGCCAUGUGAGGACACAGCAAGAAGGCGGCCCUCUGCAACCUGACCAGCAAGAUCUCACCAGAAACCACCCCUGCUUGCACUGUGAUCUUGGAAUUCUAGCCUCUAGAACUGUGAAACAAUAAACUGUUGUUUAAGCCACUUGGCCUGUGGUAUUUUGUUACAGCAGCCUGAACUGACUAAUACAAUCACUAAAUUAUCAAAAAGUGGAAUUAAAAGUGUUAUAUCUGUUUCACUCAAGAUAUGAGUAGGAAACAGAGAAGAGUUAGACAAAAAAAAAACAAAAAACAGAUAAACAGAAAUUUAGUAAAUAUUUGCUGAGUAAUGAAUUUAGACAUUUUGCUUUUUGAUAUGCUUUCAAGAACUUCAAUGAGGUAUAACUGACAUUCAAUAAACCACAAUUAUUAAAAUGUACAAUUUGAUGUGCUUUGCCAUAUGAAACCAUCAUCAAAAAUCAAGAUCAUAAACACAACUAUCACCUUCCAAAUCUCCUUGGAUACCUAUAAUUCCUCCGUCUGCCCCUUCCUAAUCUGCCCCCUGCCAUCCUACAAGAGGAAACCUCUGAUCUGUUUUCUGGCACUAUAGAUCUGUAGGUUAAUGAUAAUUUUCUAGAAUUUUAUAUAAAUAGAAUCAUAUGGGAUGUAAUCUUUUUUUGAUUUUUUUCCACUCACCAUCAUUAUUCUGAGAUUCAUCCAUGUUGUUGCUUAUAUCAGUGUUUUAUUCCUUUUGAUUACUGAGUGAUAUUCUGUUGUGUAUACUGUCAUUCGUUUAUUCAUUUAUAUGUUGAUGGACUUUUGGCUUGUUUCCAGUUUUAGGCUAUUACCAAAUAAAGUGCAAAUCUUUCUAUGGAUAGUUUCAUUUUUAUUGGAUCAACUAGGAGGUGUAUAUUUAACUGUUAAACUGCCAAUUUUUUUCCAAAGUGGCUGUACCAUUUCACCUCCUGCCAGCAGUGCAUGAGAGUCCUAGUUCCUCCAAAUCCUAGCCAACACCUGACGGUCAUUUUAAUCUGAGCCAUU
rnacentral:lncRNA from 1 species